AUUGAACGCUGGCGGCAUGCCUUACACAUGCAAGUCGAACGGUAACGGGCCUUCGGGUGCCGACGAGUGGCGCACGGGUGAGUAAUACAUCGGAACGUGCCCGAUCGUGGGGGAUAACGAGGCGAAAGCUUUGCUAAUACCGCAUACGAUCUACGGAUGAAAGCAGGGGACCGCAAGGCCUUGCGCGGACGGAGCGGCCGAUGGCAGAUUAGGUAGUUGGUGGGAUAAAAGCUUACCAAGCCGACGAUCUGUAGCUGGUCUGAGAGGAUGAUCAGCCACACUGGGACUGAGACACGGCCCAGACUCCUACGGGAGGCAGCAGUGGGGAAUUUUGGACAAAGGGCGCAAGCCUGAUCCAGCCAUGCCGCGUGCAGGAUGAAGGCCUUCGGGUUGUAAACUGCUUUUGUACGGAACGAAAAGCCUUCUUUUAAUACAGGAGGGUCAUGACGGUACCGGAAGAAUAAGCACCGGCUAACUACGUG
rnacentral:rRNA from 1 species